AUACGUAGGGGGCGAGCGUUGUCCGGAAUGAUUGGGCGUAAAGGGCGUGUAGGCGGCCUGUUAAGUCUGAAGUGAAAGUCCUGUUUUCAAGAUGGGAAUUGCUUUGGAUACUGGCGGGCUUGAGUGCAGGAGAGGGUAUCGGAAUUCCCGGUGUAGCGGUGAAAUGCGUAGAGAUCGGGAGGAACACCAGUGGCGAAGGCGGGUAACUGGACUGCAACUGACGCUGAGGCGCGAAAGUGUGGGGAGCAAACAGGAUUAGAUACCCUGGUAGUCCACACUGUAAACGAUGAAUGCUAGGUGUAGGGGGUAUCGACCCCUUUUGUGCCGGAGUCAACACAAUAAGCAUUCCGCCUGGGGAGUACGGCCGCAAGGUUGAAACUCAAAGGAAUUGACGGGG
rnacentral:rRNA from 1 species